CAAGGGCUGACUGUAGCUGGGGGAAGACAGUUCACUCAUUUGCGCUCUCCUUUCAUACAGUCAGCUGGCCCUCUUCUCAGGUGUAGAUCACCUAUUAUCAGUUCACCUGUUUUGAUUCUCUGAUGAGGAAAAUCCCGGGACUUAUCAGCCGGGAUAGGCCUCAUUUACAAGACAGCUCUGUUCAGUGUUUGGAAGAAAGCCUGACAGGUUUCUCCGGAAAAGUGGCCAUCCAUGGAAUGAAUGAAAUGUUCCCUUUCUAUUCCAGGGAUUGCAGUGGCAAAGCUAGGCUAGGUCUUGGAGGCUGGUGUAAGGCGAAGCGGGUGAAGGCAGGAGGCUGAUGGAGAGACUGGGGGGAAGAAAAGCCGAAAUGGAUUCACGGUGCCUUGGAUGGAGGACGAGAGGGGAACUGCAGGCUCCUUCAACUCGUUCUGUCCGGUGAGAAGUGAUCAAGCUUGGGCUGACAAGAGGCUCAGGGAGUCCUCACGUUCUUUCGCUUUUUUACCUGCCAAUCAAACUGCUACAAGACAACACCCUGAUCUGGCAUGGACAUCGCGGGUCCAAGCCUGUAGUCCCAAAUCGGAUAUCUCUGCAGCUGAUAACAAGCAAAAGAGAAGCCAGGCAACAGCCAUAUUAAAGAAGAAAACAAUCAACUCUGAGGAUGCCACCCUGAAAGUUUUAUUUUCUCCAGGUUGCUAAUCUGUCAGAGAGAUUGACAUGUAAUGGCCAGGACCAUCGGAGGCUGCUCCCAACAAAGUCAUUCUGGUAGCUGGAGUUCUCUAGAAAUCAACGGGCCUGAAUUACCCAUGAUUUUUCUCUGCCCUUCAAAGGAAAAUGUGUUGUUCUAAUGCUCUUUUGGCUUUUGUGAAACGUUUUUUUUUUUUUUUUUUGGUUACAUUGUUUUAAAUUCUAAGUUUAGAUGAAAUAGGGACUUCUAUAGGAUAAUCAUACCUACAAAGAGUUUUCAAAGCCAACCAGUCCUUAAAAUUUACUUAGAAAUUGUUAAAAAGAUUUGUGGCAUUUAAAUAAAUAUUGGGAUGUCAUAAGAUUUAAAAAAUUGAGAACACUUCGGCGUCAGUGAUGAACAAGGGAACUUAAUAGAGGCAAGAACACAACUUUCUAUACUUUUUCAUGUUUUCAAACACUAAAAUAAAAUUCUCAUUUUAAGUUAUUUUUGAAACCUCUUUUCCUUUUUCUUAUCAGUGAAUAAUAUACCUGAAUUUAUAUAUAAGCAUGUGACUUAUGGAUCAUGUUACCACCAAGCCAAGUAAAUAUGUGUGAAAGUAAACUUUAGUAUGGUGUCUUUUGUUGACAG
rnacentral:lncRNA from 1 species